AGGGGAGCCUUCUGUCUCCCUUUCCACCCCUCUCCGUGAGUCUAUUUGCAGGACUGCGGAGGUGCACUGCAGGAAACUCACCUGAUGAAUGAGAACGGUGAAAAUCUCUCUGCUUAGUUUCUCUGUAGAGCCUAGCUGAGAGAGUGAGCGGCACUAAGGAGCCUUGAGCUGACCCAGAAGACAGGAAAGGACAAAAGUCAACUCCAACAACCAGUGAAUGAGGAGUUAAGGAAGGUGGUGAUUAAACCAGGUCAAAUGGAAGUGAUUAGGUUGGAUUACGCCUGUCAUGGAAAAAUUCACCAGAAGAUCGAAGAGGGAUCCCACACACACAGAUCCCAGCAAGUUCUGCUGAAAGAUACAGGACACUGCAGGCCCAGGAUGUUUCCUCGAAGUC